AUGGAAUUGGAUUGAUUCUUGAAGUGGCUUCGCUUGGCUUCGCUCUUCACAUCGCCGAUGGUUUGUGGCUGACUCCGUUUGAUCCGUGUCAAUUUCUGGCUGCUGAAGAAGAAGAGGAUUUUGAUCCGAGAUGAGCGGCUCGACGUGAGAUCAUUUGGCACGAUCGACACAUAAGGCGGGUACUUCUUGCUUUAUCUCUUUAGUGUUUUGAUCCUAGUGCAUGAGCUUUAUGUUCAGUUAGUUGCUGUAUCUAUCUUGACUCCACUCUUAUUUUU